CCUACGGGUGGCAGCAGUAGGGAAUCUUCCACAAUGGGCGAAAGCCUGAUGGAGCAACGCCGCGUGGGUGAAGAAGGUCUUCGGAUCGUAAAACCCUGUUGUUAGAGAAGAAAGUGCGUGAGAGUAACUGUUCACGUGUCGACGGUAUCGAACCAGAAAGCCAAGGCUAACGACGUGCCAGCAGCCGCGGUAAUACGUAGGUGGCAAGCGUGAGCCGGAUUUAUUGGGCGUAAAGGGAACGCAGGCGGUCGUUUAAGUCUGAUGUGAAAGCCUUCGGCUUAACCGGAGUAGUGCCUUGGAAACUGGGAGCCUUUAUUGCAGCAGCGGAGAGUGGAACUCCAUGUGUAGCGGU
rnacentral:rRNA from 1 species